rnacentral:rRNA from 1 species
UACAGAGGGUGCAAGCGUUAUCCGGAAUGAUUGGGCGUAAAGCGUUUGUAGGUUGCUUGAGAAGUCUACUGUCAAAUCCCAGAGCUCAACUUUGGACAGGCAGUGGAGCACUCUUAGGCUAGAGUACGGUAGGGGUAGAGGGAAUUCCCGGUGGAGCGGUGAAAUGCACAGAGAUCGGGAAGAACACCAGUGGCGAAAGCGCUCUGCUAGGCCGUAACUGACACUGAGGGACGAAAGCUAGGGGAGCGAAUGGG